UUCUGAUGCAGCCUGGAUAUCGUCUCCAUUGGAAUCCCUAAUGUGGAGAACUAACUUUGUCUUGAAGCUCCUGUGGACUGCAUAGAAAUCCUCCACAGCCAUCAUAAUGCUGUUGUAUAUUGAGCGACAGUCAGACUGAGGAGCAAGAAGAAGAUUGCAGCCCUCUCAGGUGCUCUCUCCAUCCCUAUCCUGUGGUCUGCUCUGCUGGUUACUGAAUGUAUGGUGCCAUGCAGUCUUAUAGCACUGAUUUUUCAUUUCUUUGACUUGGUCAGAUUGCAUUAUAGGCUCUGUUGUCUCUGAAUUAAAAUUAUAAGCUUCCUUCUUGCUGUUCAUAGGAUUGAAAGGAACUGGCAAGAUUAUAUAAACAAUAGUAAGGUGAUCGGCAACGCCUAGAAGAGUGCAUGGGCUUUGCAAAUGAAAUCUUACCAUCUCUGUUUCCCUAUACUUGUCACCAGAAAUUACUAUUCUUCAAACUUUGAUUACUCACCUUUUAGUAAUAAAUUUGUUUAUAAAUAUUUAAAAACACAACGUAUUAUACCAGGAGAGUCAAAAUUCAGAACCUCAGGCAUUAAAUACGUUGUCACAACACACCAUUUCGUAAGGCCCAAAGACCACUUGAGGAAGGUGUGUAUGUCCAGCUCAUUUUUCCUACGUUUGCAAGCUAGAAUUUCCUUGUAUUUUCCAGACAUACCUGAACAGGGAGCUAUUAGGAAAAAUCAUUUAUAUUUAUAAACAGAAUGAUAGCUUCUUUUAAAAUGGUAUGGGAUAUUCCUUGAAGAGUGCAUAUGGUAGGUCUAAAAAUAUUCUCCUGGUAUCGUAAUUUAUGGGUACAUCACUGAUUAUACUGUUUGUAAUGGCAAGUCAACUCAAUGGGAUUUUCUCUGAUCACAAGAGUCCAGAAUUGGCAGAUGUGGUUGACAUUCAACAAUCAGAUUUGGUUGACAUUCAAUUGAGCUUCUGUUCGUUGAAGCUUCAAGGACCAUCCAAUCCAAUCCAAUCAAUUUGGUCCAUAAAAAAAAUUAAAAACUUAUUGAGAUGUUGAUUGACGAAUUAAGAUGAACAAUAUUGUAAGGUGCAGGACGUACACUACCAAGAAUAAGUGGUAAGCACUGGAGGAGCAACACAUACAAAACCUUUGUCUGACCUGGAUUUUGCUUGGUUCAAAGGUAAUGGACUGAUCGCUAACGAUCGUCUGCUGCAGUGGCACUGCCUUCUUCACUCCGAUUCCUUGCUUCGCCUCCGUCAGGUAUGCUUCUCCUGGCACUGGCAGCUGCAGGCGAUCUAAAUGGCUAUUCUUCCCAAUUAAUGGGUCAGGCAAUGCUAGUUCUCACAGGGGGGUUGUCACCUGUCGAAGGAAAUGUCCGGUAGCAUUAGCAACUAGUAUAGCUUCCCGAGCUUACAGCUUUGCUGCUUACCGGGCCUUGUUCUCGUCCUCGUCCUCGCCGGAGCUUUGCUCUUGAUGUAAUUAACUGAGUCUAAAUAAAGCUUCUAUUAUCUUAAAAAAAAAAAGAAUGCCUAUACAUGAGCAGU